rnacentral:rRNA from 1 species
GUCUACGGCCAUGUCACCCUGAAUGCGCCUGAUCUCAUCUAAUCUUAGAAGCUAAGCAGGAUCAGGCCUGGAUGGAAGAAGAGCGUCCAUGCUUAUUGCUUUUAUCUGACUAAGGAAGCACCAUGUUUUGUAUGAA